rnacentral:rRNA from 1 species
GAGAGAGAGACAUGCGCGCAUAUCAAUAAGCGGAGGAAAAGAAACUAACAAGGAUUCCCCUAGUAACGGCGAGUGAAGCGGGAAGAGCUCAAAUUUGAAAUCUUAAAGGGUUUCCCUUUACGAAUUGUAGUUUAAAGAAGUGUUUUCUGUUGAGGUUUUGGUAAAAGUUCUUUGGAAUAGGACAUCAUAGAGGGUGAGAAUCCCGUAUUUGACCAUUACUUUCAACUUUGUGAUACACUUUCAAAGAGUCAGGAUUGUUUGGGAAUGCAGUCCAAAAUGGGUGGUAAAUUUCAUCUAAAGCUAAAUAUUGGCGAGAGACCGAUAGCGAACAAGUACCGUGAGGGAAAGAUGAAAAGAACUUUGAAAAGAGAGUUAAACAGUACGUGAAAUUGUCAAAAGGGAAGCGUUUGACACCAGUGUUGUUUUUCUGAAAAUCAAUUAAAGAACUGUUUAUGCUAAGCUUGUUUAGACUUUAUCAGCUAUCUGUUUAGUUUUGAGCUUUUCUUUAAUGCACUUUUCAGUUAACAAGUCAACAUCAAUUUCUUUUGCUGUAAAAAAGCUUGAGGAAGGUGGCUUGAGAUUCGUCUUAAGUGUUUAUAGCCUCUUGCCUAUGCAGUCGGAGAGAUUGAGGUCUGCAGCGUAGAUCCUUCGGGGCUAAAUGCAUUUGUGCUAAGUUAUAGCAUUCUAUAGACAACUUGUUGACUAUGAUUUGUCUUGUAGCUUACUCGCUUAUGUUAUUUUACCUACGCUUAGGAUGUUGAGCGCAUGUCUCUCUCU